AGCGAACGUUUGCGGCGGGCUUAACACAUGCAAGUCGAACGAGAAUCCCUUCGGGGAGGAAAGUGGCGCACGGGUGCGUAACACGUGGAUAACCAACCCAUUGGCUUGGGACAACACCGGGAAACUGGUGCUAAUACCAGAUGUGUCGCAGCUGUCUUCAGGCGGUUGCGAGAAAGGCCCGCAAGGGUCGCCAACGGACGGGUCCGCGUCCCAUCAGCUAGUUGGUGAGGUAAUGGCUCACCAAGGCAAAGACGGGUAGCUGGUCUGAGAGGAUGGCCAGCCACACUGGAACUGAGACACGGUCCAGACUCCUACGGGAGGCAGCAGUGGGGAAUCUUGCGCAAUGGGCGAAAGCCUGACGCAGCGACGCCGCGUGGGCGAAGAAGGCCUUUGGGUUGUAAAGCCCUGUGGGGGAGAACGAACCGUACGGGGCGAACACCCUCCGUGCCUGACGGUACUCCUUUAGCAAGCAUCGGCUAACUCUGUGCCAGCAGCCGCGGUAAAGUACAGUGU
rnacentral:rRNA from 1 species